AUUUUUAUUAAUUUGGCAAAAAACUAGAAAUUAUUUGCAAAAUCAACUGUAUGUCUUAUUAAAUAUACAAUGCUUUUUGGGUGAUAUUUGUAUGGAAUUAUUGUGAAUAUCACUACAAUAAUCCUUUACAUUGAAGUACCAUCUAGAGGGUUUAUGUUAAGUUGACAUGAUCCAGAGAAUUAAACGACAGAUCUAUGUGGUAAAUGAAUGAAUUAUGAAAUAACUAUUUAUAAAACAACCAUAAGUGAUUUAAAGAUGGUAUUUUCAUGUGAUACAUUAUACAGAUGUUUAAACUUUCUAUGAAACUUCGCACAGAAUAUAUCUGGUCUGGACUGCAUUGUGAAAGAAAGUAGGCAACUUUUAGGUUUAAAGUUAUCCAUGUUUUGUUGGGUAGACAGCCAUAUAGACCUCAACAGCUAGAACAUCUGUUGUGAUAUCAAAAAUGACAUCACAGUCUUUUCGACGUUGACUCUGGGAUUUGAUUUGGUCCAUUAGACCAACUUUCUCAUUCCUGCAUAAUGCAUAGAUUUAAUAUAGAUGCUUCAGUUGAACAUGUAGAGAUUGUACUUUAGUAAAUAUUUAGGUCCACAUUUCAUUUGUUAAAUAAAAAGCACUUACUGUACUCUUGGAAACGGCUCUUUUCAUACCUGGAAAUUUGAAGCGGUUUUCCAGCUCUAAUCUUUGGGUGGAACGCUUUCACCCACUUGACUUGGAAACAAUAUUCAUUGUAGUUCUGAAUGUCAGGAUAACAUGUUUCUAUCUGGUUUCACACUGGUGCUUCAUAUGUAAUGCAGUGGCACAGAACGUACUUCGAGAUCAUCUCCAUCUGUGAAAACAACUACAAUGAGUGUUAGGUGUACAUUCCAAACCAGAAAACUAGAAUUUAGCAAAAUUAAAUACAAAAAUAAAAAUUGUACGGCUAAUGUCUUUCUUGUCCCAUUUCUCCCUUGAAACCACAUUUUAGUGCCAUUAUAUUUAUUAGUGGUUUGCAAGAAAUGCUGCUAUAUAUGUUGCAUUCAUCACAUGAUCCAUUGUUGUUCCAGAUACUGAUGUUCACUUGCCUCUCUGCCCAAAGUUUUUUGCCAUUCUGUGAAUGAAAGAAGUAGUUAGACAAUCUGGGAGCAUAAAUUGACCCCAAGACAGUUGCCAUAUCUUUUCAAACGCCAAAGAUUUUCUUUCAUUGAGUUCUGUAUUCCAUUGACUGUGUUCGACAGCUGUUUGUGUCUGGAGUACCACUGCAUAUUUCACCAGUUUCAGUGUUGAGGACUGUUCUGAUGUUUUUGGCGCUGUGCUAGUCUGCCUUUCAUGUGUUUGUAUGCCGUACUUCAAACAAAGAAAAAUAGGGGGAAAAAAGAAUUACAAAACAAAACAAAGCCAAUCUCUCUCAGACUCUAAAUGUUUCUCUGUGUUGGACUCUAUAUUCUCUGUAGAUGUGUUUUCAUGCCAUGGUGUUAUAGUGUUUCUGAAGACCGGGUUUGUUUUUGAAUAUCUUGCUCGUAUGUCAUCUCUUCUGAUUAACUAAUUCAAUUAUAUUUGUACAAUGUGUAUUUUUCUCUGCAGUACUGUAUUUCCCUGAAUAGAUAUCCUUGUCAUAUUUUUAAUCAUCGAUUAUUAAAAAAUUAUUUUUAUAUAUGCUUUGAGGAGGAUGUAGUUUGAGCUCGUUGCGCUCUGUUACUUGUCUUCAUAUCUUUGUUUUCUGUUGUGUGAUCUGUUUGUUCAUGCUAUCACUGACACAACGGUGAUUUUUGAAUUCAACACGAGUGAGUGAGCGAGCUUUUCCUUGAAAUUAUCACAUGUAAGUGUGGUUCAUUAUAAAAAAUGCCAUCCAUUUGAUUAUGUGUGUUGGAAAAUACAUUUUAGGCCCUGACAUGGUUGAUACAAUUCAAAACCAAAAAUUGCUUUUACAAAGAUGUUGGCUCAUGUACUCAUGAGAUAUUUCCAGGAAAUAUUUGAUGUCCUAGGUUGCUAUUUUGUCAUUGUCAAUCGAUAAAGUAUCCAAUCAGCCGUGUUGAACUGUAAUGCUGUAAAUGUCAGUAAUAAGUGUUCAAACUCCAGCAGAAUUUAUUGAUCACAACUUCAGUUCAUACAUGUCCAUUUCAGAGAGGUUUCAGACUCACUCUUAAUGUGAACCUGGUUGUUUGCCCUUUGUAAUCUUUCAUGACUAAGGAGAAAAAAAGUUCUUGUUGUUUUCUUGGCUUUAAUUUUAUUUAUUCAUUUUGUAAUGUUUCAUGUUGACUUUAAAUGAAUUGUUUUAUUUGUCUCAGACAGAACAUUCUGAAAUAUUACACUUUUAACAUGCAGAAGAGCCUCGUUCAUUUUCUGUCCUGAAUAUAACGGUUAUCAGUGGGUUGCAGUAUUUUCUCAUUGUAGCCAAUUUCUUGUACAGUUUUAUGCAAAUUUCACAUUGGAUGUUUAUGACUAUCUGCUGCCACAAACAAUUUAGAAUUUCUGUAGAUAGAAAUGACUGUGCAAUGGAAAAUAAAUGAUUUAAAAAUC